GUGGGUCUGUGCUACGGCCCGAGCCGUUGGUCCCGCGCCGAGAUGCUUCAAAGCAUUAUUAAAAAUGUGUGGAUCCCCAUGAAACCCUACUAUACCCAAGUUUACCAGGAGAUCUGGAUCGGAAUGGGCUUGAUGGGCUUCAUUGUUUAUAAAAUCAGGAGUGCAGAUAAAAGAAGUAAAGCUUUGAAAGCUCCCGCACCUGCUCGUGGUCAUCACUACCCAGCCUCACUUGGAGUGCACAAGAGAGGGUACGUCAGUCUGCCUGCAGAUCUCAGCAAGCUGUGUUAGAUGGGAACAUGGAACGUCCCUGUACACUUGCAUAAGUGCCGUCUACUUUGGCAUGAAUAAAUGUCUCUGAGAUGCACCACACCUGGGACUGCGUUCAGUGUGCCCCCGCUCAGCUCCCUCCUGUGUGCCAGGCUUACUCUGAGUAGAUCAUUUGUAAUGCAGGUGAAUUUCAGAUGAAAUCAGAAUCUUACUGAGCUGUUCAUGGUUAGAAGCCCGAGGAA